AGGAAUGAAUGAAAAGCUGAAUCAGCGGGCCUUAAAGAGUGACUGGAAUUAAUUUGUUCAACAAUAUUUAUUUUGCUGUGCAUAAAAGACAGUAGAAGUGAUUUGAAGUCCUUACUGGUCUACUCCAAGUACUUUGUCAGGAAGAAUGGAGCAGAUUUUUCAGUAAUAAAUCCAAGUGUUUUAUUUUGUGCAGUACUUUUGAGAGGACUUAGAAAGAAUACUGAAUGAAAGAAACCAAGAGGAAAAUAUCAUAAAGGG
rnacentral:lncRNA from 1 species